AUUGAACGCUGGCGGCAGGCCUAACACAUGCAAGUCGAGCGAGCGGCGGACGGGUGAGUAAUGUCUGGGAAACUGCCUGAUGGAGGGGGAUAACUACUGGGGACGGUAGCUAAUACCGCAUACCAUCAGAUGUGCCCAGAUGGGAUUUGCGAGGAGGUGUGGGAAUGGCUCACCUAGGCGACGAUCCCUAGCUGGUCUGAGAGGAUGACCAGCCACACUGGAACUGAGACACGGUCCAGACUCCUACGUGAGGCAGCAUUGGGGAAUAUUGCACAAUGGGCGAAAGCCUGAUGCAGCCAUGCCGCGUGUGUGAAGAAGGCCUUCGGGUUGUAAAGCACUUUCAGCGGGGAGGCGUUACCCGCAGAAGAAGCACCGGCUAACUCCGUGCCAGCAGCCGCGGUAAUUC
rnacentral:rRNA from 1 species